AGUCCUGCAGCUCUCAGUGGCGCUGACCCUGGCAACCCAACCCCCAGUCCUGUGUUCUCUGCUGUCAGGGGCUGGUGUGCUUGCCGGCCUCCCCGCAAGGGUCCCUGCAGUGCCCUGAGCUCUCAGCAGCUCUAAGUCCCUCGGCUGAGCCCAGCCCCCAUGCCCUACCCAGCACCCACGCCCCACAGUGGCUGCACUCCCCCUCGGCGAGCUCCCCUGGCUUUACUCCGUGCGGUGCACCCAGGGUCCCGCCUGUGUAUGGCCACCCCGAUGCCUCCCUUGGAGGCCAAGGGCAUCUCCCAGAAGACAUUUGGACUUUUGCGCCCGCGGCAGCUACCCCGGUCAUUUCUAUAAGGAGGAGAAUUCUCCUCUUUAGGUUUUCCUCUACUUUCCAAAUUGUCAGGCUUAAUUAUUCCAAAGUUGAAACGCCAGAGACAAACCUCUCAGUCUCCCCACAGCCAGGCCUGUGCCACGAGGGCCCCCACCCUGGAACGACCUCUGGUCCUCACUGUUCCUCUCGGUCUCCCUGCAGCCAGGCCUGUGCCAUGAGGACCUCCACCCCUGAAUGACCUCCAGUCCCCACUGUUCCUGCAGCGGAUGGGAAAAUCGGGACUCACAACAGCUUCCCGCUCCCAGGCCAGUGUCCCUCGGAGCCACUGAGUGCUGGCCUGGGAGUCAGGGCCUGUGUCCCCUGCCUGCUGUGACCCCACACCCAGUCUGGGCCCUGCCUGCUCUGACCCCACGCCCACCCCGGGCUCCACGGGCAAAGCGUUCUUCCUGCACUGGCUCUGGUCUGUAAAAGAGACGUUGGCGCCUGGUCCUCUGUAGUUCACAUGAGUAAAGGGGGUGCUGUUACUGAUGAGGGUGAAUAACCAGUGUGAACGGGGCUCCCUGAGCCACCUGGAUGUGUGGCUGCCCUAUGCUGAAGGCUUAGUGGACACUGGCCGCCACCACCUCUCCAGCCACAUUACGUGCCAUACCCAGCAUAAUUUUCUGAGCUUUUCUGUGCCUAAACACUUUAGGGUCCUUCCCACUCCAGGGCCUUUGCACAUGUGGGUCCCUCUGUCUGCAAUGCUCUUCCUCGUCUUCUCCUAGUGAACGCCUGUCCAUCCUUUAGCUCCCAGCUCCCAGAAGCCUUCCUCCCUCCCUGGGGACUCGGAGUAGUUACCUGCCUUUGUGGCUCCUCAGCCCCUUAGAUAGCUAAUGUCUGUCCCGUCCUGGGCCGUGUACCUGUGGACGCACGCCUAUCUGGGGCAUUGACAUCUUCCCAGGCAACGCCUGGUACACAACAGGUGCUUCACAAACAUACCUUAAACCACUCAGUGGAGGAGAGCCUAUUGUUAUUCCCACAAGCGGGGUGGACCUGAGCCCAGAGGAGGUGGGGUUUGAAUCUUCAUCUGCCCUGCCCCACAGCCCGCAUCCCUCACCGCUGGACACAGGAUCCCCGAGAUGAGAUUUCACUGUGCUGCAGCCUCUGUGGGCAGGCGUCACUGCUCUCCUCCCGAUACCCCAAACCUGAUCAUUCCGCCCCUGUCCUUGUCUUGCCCAUCCACCAUGGACAGCCCCAGGCUCAGUAGCUCCUGCAAGCAACGAUCCAUUCGCAAAGGGCCCUGUGGACCUCCAGACGUCUCACGGUUCUGACGGCUAACACCCCUCCCUUGCUGACCCCGAGGGCAGCUGGUGACUGCUCGGGGUCUGGGUCAUUAUUGCCCCUGCCCUCUUUUCCACAUGUUUCAAAGUUCCUGUCCCAGUGAGGAGCAAAAGCCUUCAUGGACAGCAGCCUGAGGCAGAAAACAGCAAUUAUUUCAGGGGAGCUGACUACCUUAUGUUCUAGUCCAUGGAUUUAUACAUGGAGAUGGGGCCAGCUCUGGGCUGGGAGCCCUGCAGCCAGGGGCAACCCUGCCUCAGUGGGACCACAGGCCAACACCCACUACCCCAGCCCUCCUUGGCCAGGGAGGUCCAGGCCAGCCUCUCUUACCAGGCGACCACCAAACCUUCCCGCCCCCACCCGUGUGCCUCACUUCACUUUAUGCCUCUGCCAGGAACAACCACCACAGCUAAAGCCACCACCGUGUGCUCCCGGAUUCUCCUCCAGGGUGAGGGAUCUCCUCCCUCCCCACCACCAAUGGGCACUGUGCCCUGUUGGUUCUCUUCACAGCUCUUGUCUGGAUUAUAGCGUGUCUCAUUUUGGCUUCUAUUUAAGACUUUUUCUUCUUUCUUUGCCUCACUAGAAUGUGAAACCCUGGAGGCAUGCACAUGGUUUUCUUUACUGCCGUGGUCGCCAUAAUGUGGCCCCCGACGGCGUCCACACCAGAACCUCAGGACCUGUGAAUGUGUCACCUUUCAUGGCAAAAGGGGCUUUGCAGCUCUGAUUCAGGGUGGGAACCUUGGGAUGGGGAAAUUGUCCUGGGUGUCCGGGUGAGCCCAGUGUUAAUCACACGAGUGCUUAGAAGCAGGGACCCGGGUCUGGCUGAUGAGCAAGAUCAGGUGGAGGGAGGGGGAGAGAUUAGAAGCCGGAGAAAGACUCGACCUCCAUUGCUGGUGUCAAAGAAAUGUCAAGACCCUCUAGGUUUAUUAAGCCAAGGGGGAAGUUAAGCCCCAGAGACUGAUUCCUAUAGUAAGUUUGUAACUCCUGAUUCUUCUUCUUUUUAUUUUUAUUUUUUAUUGAGACAGGGUCUCACUCUGUCACCAGGCUGGAGUGCAGUGGUGCAAUCUUGGCUCACUGCAACCUCCACCUCCCAGGUUCAAGUCAUUCUCCUUCCUUAGCCUCCCGAGUAGCUAGGACUACAGGCGUGCACCACCAUGCCCAGCCAAUUUUUGUAUUUUUACCAGAGACAGGGUUUCACCAUGUUGGCCAGGAUGGUCUUGAUCUACUGACCUCGUGAUUCGCCUGCCUUGGCCUCCCAAAGUGCUGGCAUUACAGGUAUGAACCACCGUGUCUGGCCUCCUGCUUCUUAGAUUAGAGAAUAGCCCUCUUCCUCAUUGUUCCUGUUCAGUAGAAGAAAACAGAGGCCAGACCUCCCCGACUUCCAAUCACUAAUCUUUGUUUUAGAAGAACUGCCUCUUUGAUUGUCUGCAGUCAGGACAAUACUGUCCCAGCUCAGCCCAGAUGGCAUAAAAGACCCCAGGACUGUUACAUCUUCAGUGUGGAAGGUUAAAUAUACCUUUCCCAAAGGGAAAAAAUCACCUUGACCAAGCAGAUCAUUGUAACUAUGCAUUAAGCCUUAUGUAGAAAGAUGCUGAAGCUCUGCGAAGCUUUCCUAAACUUUGUCUCUAUAAACGAUCCCAAACGUCCAUAUUUUGGAGCACUGACUUCCAUUCUUUGGAAUCUGUGCUUCCCUGGUGGCUGGGCUCAAACACUGUUAAUAAACCUCUGUGGGUUUAUAAUAAAUACUUGAAUAAACCUCUGUGGGUCUCAGGUCCACGGUUUAAAUAAACUAUCUUGAAACUAGAUCCUGGCCCUUUUGAUGAUUUUAGGUUGACACUGGCUUUGGAGAUGGAAGAAGGGGUCAUGAGCCCAGGCAUGAGUCCCUCCAGAGGCUGGGAAUGUCAUCAGCUGACCACCAGCAAGAAAACUCAGUCCUCCACCUCCUGGAGCUGGAGUCCAACUGUACCCCCAUGAGCAGGGGAUGGAUUUUCCCCAGGGCCUCCAGAAAGACCUUGCCCACGCCUUGAUUUUAGCCUAGCAUGCACCGUAUUGGACUUCUGACCUAUGGAGCGGUAAGAGAAUGGAUGGUGCCAUUUAAACCACUGAACCUGUGGUCAUUGCUUAUGUGGCAACAGAAAAACACACAGCUAAGUCCCCUGCCUAGAAACACUCUGGCCCCAGAGUGGGUCUCCACCUCUCUGGCUGAUGGGCUGGCAACAGCCCCCAGGUGGUGUGACUUUCCCCAGGCUCGGAGUGCUGAGGAAGCCUGCUGGAGAUCACCCAGCCAGGGGGUGGCAGAGGUGGGACUCCAACCCGUUCCUCCUGGCAGGUGGCUUCCACGGGGUGGGGCGGGGGCAGGAGCAGCUCCAGGGUGGAGUGGGCUUCACAUCACCUGUACAGGGCUCUGCAGCUCUGCCCUCAUGGGCCUGGGGUACAGAAGGGAGGUGGCCCUGCACCCCCCAGUGGUUCCCCGCCACCAGUGCUCGUGCUGCAGAGGGGGGCCGUGCUGGUGUC
rnacentral:lncRNA from 1 species